rnacentral:rRNA from 1 species
UACGUAGGGGGCAAGCGUUGUCCGGAUUUAUUGGGCGUAAAGCGCGUGUAGGCGGCCACGCAGGUCCGCUGUGAAAACUCCAGGCUCAACCUGGAGACGCCACCUGAUACUGCUGUGGCUAGAGUCCGGUAGGGGAGCAUGGAAUUCCUGGUGUAGCGGUGAAAUGCGCAGAUAUCAGGAGGAACACCAGUGGCGAAGGCGGUGCUCUGGGCCGGAACUGACGCUGAGGAGCGAAAGCGUGGGGAGCAAACAGG